CUUGCUGACUGGCUCUUUCUCAGGCUCGUACUUACUCAGCUUUCUGAUACAGCCCAGGAUACAGCAGCUGCCUGCAGUGGUACCAGUCACAGUGGGCUGGACCCUCUUACAUCAGAUACAAAUCAAGACAGUCUCCACCCAAGACACACCCACAGGCCAACCUGAUUAUUGGGAGUUUGUUUUGUGCUUAGGUGGGAAUUUGCACAUCCGCUGAAGGUCCCUGCCAACUGUUGGUUUUUUGCCGGGUCAUUGAAGAGCCAGCGGCCAAUGGCUGGGAAAGGGGAGAGAGGCGGGACUUUUUGGAUUCGCAGGCAAGAAAUGCUAAGGAAAGAAGGGAAAGAAUGACCAGGAUUGGGAAGCAGAGCGAUCAGACUAAAGAGCCCACUAACAGAGCUCUAUGGAGGGUGCAGAGCUGGGAGCAUCGAGUGGCCUAUAAAUAUUUACCGCAACACCAGAUGACAUCAACUACUCAACUAAGACACCUUCUUCAGAUAUGGAGCCACUGUCUCGGGAUGCACACAGCUGACCAAAUUGUGUCUUCUGUCCUCCACCCCAACUCCAAACACAGAGCCCUGA
rnacentral:lncRNA from 1 species